UUUUUUUUUAAUUUUAUAAUGGUUAAUUAAUUAUUAAGGUGAGGUUAUUUAUUAUUAAUUCUUAAAUUGGACAAUAUUAGAUAAUCCUGUUUUUUGUCAUUUAUAUAAAUUAAGUACCAGAAUAGUCGGAUAGGCUUGAUAAAAUUAGUACUUUAAUUGUUGUUAAUAUAAAUUGUGUUUAAUGUGUGAAAUGAGAAAAAAAAAAGAGAUUUUAGUUUUUUUUGUAAAAUGUGUAUUUGUUUUUUUUUUUUUGAUUUAUAUUGGAAAUAAAUUUUAAUGAAUUGGAUUAGUACCCAAGUAAUUUUUGGUAAUGAGUGCAGAAGUAUAAUGAAUAUGGAAAUUGAAAUUAUUUUUGGGAGAUUUCAAAUUUAUUUUUGGAGGUUGAUUUGUAAUUGAGAACCCUCAUUUCUUACCAUUAUUAUAGGGGUAUGUAUGAUUGUUUAUUUUUGUUGUUAAGCAUUUUUAAAGAUGAUAAUUUGUGUUUGUAAAAACAGAUAAAUAUAUACUAUAUAUAAUGGUGUUUAUUGACCUACAUUAUUUUUUUAAUUUUGGAUCUUUUUGUGAAGAUGAAAAGUGAAAAUGGAAAAGACAGUAAAAUAAUUUUGAUGUUUAUUUGAAGAUUUUUUUGAAAUGGCACAAAUCAUCCAUCAAUUGCUUAAAGAGUAAUAAGUUGUAGUAGAGUUAAGGUAGGGGAACCUGUUUUAAGUUAAGAGUUAGAAGAAAGGAGGGAGA
rnacentral:ncRNA from 1 species